rnacentral:rRNA from 1 species
GACGGAGGAUGCAAGCGUUAUCCGGAAUGAUUGGGCGUAAAGCGUCCGCAGGUGGCAGUUCAAGUCUGCUGUCAAAGACCGGGGCUUAACUUCGGAAAGGCAGUGGAAACUGAACAGCUAGAGUAUGGUAGGGGCAGAGGGAAUUCCUGGUGUAGCGGUGAAAUGCGUAGAGAUCAGGAAGAACAUCGGUGGCGAAGGCGGCUCACUGGCCCGAUACUGACGCUGAGGCACGAAAGCGUGGGGAGCAAACAGG